rnacentral:rRNA from 1 species
UACGGGAGGGCAGCAGUGGGGAAUAUUGCACAAUGGGCGAAAGCCUGAUGCAGCUAUGCCGCGUGUAUGAAGAAGGCCUUAGGGUUGUAAAGUACUUUCAUCGGGGAGGAAAAAACAAAACUAAUAAUUUUAUUUCUUGACGUUACCCGAAAAAGAAGCACCGGCUAACUCCGUGCCAGCAGCCGCGGUAAUACGGAGGGUGCUAGCGUUAAUCAGAAUUACUGGGCGUAAAGAGCACGUAGGUGGUUUUUUUAAAGUCAGAUGUGAAUCCCUGGGCUUAACCUAGGAACUGCAUUUUGAAACUGAAAUACUAGAGUAUCGUAGAGGGAGGUAGAAUUCUAGGUGUAGCGGUGAAAUGCGUAGAUAUCUGGAGGAAUACCUGUGGCGAAAGCGGCCUCCUAAACGAAUACUGACACUGAGGUGCGAAAGCGUGGGGAGCAAACAGGGAUUAGAUACC